AUUGAACGCUGGCGGCAUGUCUUACACAUGCAAGUCGAACGGCAGCACGGGAGCAAUCCUGGUGGCGAGUGGCGAACGGGUGAGUAAAGUAUCGGAACGUGCCCAGUCGUGGGGGAUAACGUAGCGAAAGUUACGCUAAUACCGCAUACGAUCUAUGGAUGAAAGCGGGGGAUCGCAAGACCUCGCGCGAUUGGAGCGGCCGAUAUCAGAUUAGGUAGUUGGUGGGGUAAAGGCCCACCAAGCCGACGAUCUGUAGCUGGUCUGAGAGGACGACCAGCCACACUGGGACUGAGACACGGCCCAGACUCCUACGGGAGGCAGCAGUGGGGAAUUUUGGACAAUGGGCGAAAGCCUGAUCCAGCCAUGCCGCGUGCAGGAUGAAGGUCUUCGGGUUGUAAACUGCUUUUGUACGGAACGAAAAGGACUGCCCUAAUACGGUGGUCCCACGACGGUACCGUAAGAAUAAGCACCGGCUAACUACGUGCCAGCCGCCGCGGUAA
rnacentral:rRNA from 1 species